GUGCUGACGUCGGACGCCGCCGCGGCGCGCUCUGCAGACUGCGGGUCGCCGCUCCGCCGGGACGCGUUGGGCCGGGGCGCGCAGUGCUUGGCUGCGGUGCUCACACUCAUGAGGAGCCGGAAGCUCACAGGUGCAGUGCGGUCUUCGGCGCGCUUGAAAGCACGAAGUUGUUCGGCAGCCAGGUUGGCCUCUGCCCAGGAAGUCGGUGGUUCCACAUCUGCCAAGACAGCAUGUCUGGUGAGCUCUGUUACCGUGGAGAACGCCAAGAUCCUGACUCGAGGGUCCAUUUUAUACAAAAUUGCCACUCCAAAAUGUGUUGCUUUAGAAAAAUAUCGAAUGUUACUUGUCUGCCAGAGGGGGACUAUUUCAGAUGAAAAGGUGACAGCACUGUAAUUACCUUCAGAGAAAGACACUCGGCAGGCUGGGGCUGGCUCUUCUAGCACCUGCCCAUCUGUGUGUGGGUCUAGACCCGGGCUCUGAUCCUAGCACCUGCCCACCUGUGUGUGUGUGUCUAGACCCGGGCCCUGAUCCUAGCACCUGCCCACCCGUGUGUGUGUCUAGACCCGGGCCCUGAUCCUAGCACCUGCCCACCCGUGUGUGUGUCUAGACCCGGGCCCUGAUCCUAGCACCUGCCCACCCGUGUGUGUGUCUAGACCUGGCCCUGAUCCUAGCACCUGCCCACCCGUGUGUGUGUCUAGACCUGGGCCCUGAUCCUAGCACCCGCCCACCCGUGUGUGUGUCUAGACCCGGGCCCUGAUCCUAGCACCCGCCCACCCGUGUGUGUGUCUAGACCAGGCUCUGAGGCCACUUGUGCUCAUCGCUCUGCUCUUAGUGUGCCAUUGAGUCAUGCUGGCCCAUUGCCGUGCAGCCUCACCGCCAGAGGCUUGAAGAGAAAGGCAGAGUGGGUGGGAAAAGGAAUCUCAUGCCGUCUGCCGUUCACCCUAGCCCAGCCAUCGAUUCCGAGGAGUGAGUUCCUGAACUUACCAGUGAAGUAGAGCCGCUUCAUGGAGCCCACAGCUGAGGGGUUGGGACUUGGCCAUAUGCCAGCGUGUAGCACAGAGCUUUGCUCAUAAUGAGGUGCUUGGUAAAAUUUUGUCGAAGUCAAUUUAGCGAAUAUUUCUUGAGCACCUUCUGUGUGCCAGGCACUAAUCGGUGAAUAAAGCAAAGACCCCUGCCUUCACAGAGCUUAUGCCCUAGCAGAAAUGAAUGAAAGCUGGAUUCUUUUACUGUAAUUGUAUAAUAUAUAAAUAUAUGCUUCAGAAUUCACCUCAGGAGCUGUAACACCACUAGGGAAAACUGAAAGUGUAGGAGUGAUGUGGGGUGUGUCUAGAUUCAGUCUCACUUGUAUUUUGUCCCUUGGUGGCAAAACAGUGAAAUGGCGAUCUGUGAAAGUUGUGGUCACAGCAUCUUUAUCAUUUCAGAUGUGAGAAGAAAUACUAGCCUCUGGAUUGAGGCCUGUUUUAUUUGCUAGAUGUGUCUGGUUCCCCUUACAUUUUUUUUCUUGACAGACUUCCUCAUCCCACAAAGCCACAGACAGGCGAAUGUCCAAGAAGUUCAAAUGUGACAAAGGACAUCUUAUGAAGUCAGAAUUACAGAAGCUUGUCCCUAAGAAUGACAGCGCUUCUUUGCCAAAAGUGACACCUGAGACCCCUUGUGAAAAUGAGUUUGCUGAAGGCAGUGCCUUGCUUCCAGGCAGCGAGGCUGGCGUUUCUGUGCAGCAGAGGGCUGCAAGUCUUCCCCUCGGUGGCUGCAGAGUUGUGAGUGACUCUCGCUUAGCAAAGACUAAAGAUGGCCUGUCUGUGCCGAAACACAGUGCCGGGUCCGGAGCAGAAGAAUCCAACAGCAGCUCCACUGUGCAGAAGCAGAACGAGCCAGGGCUAGAGAUAGAGGAUGUGCAGAAGCCACCACUUCAGAUGGACAACAGCAUCUUUCUAGAUGACGACAGCAAUCAGCCAAUGCCCGUGAGCCGGUUCUUUGGAAACGUUGAGCUCAUGCAGGACCUCCCACCUGCAUCUUCAUCUUGUCCUUCAAUGAGCAGACGAGAGUUCAGAAAAAUGCAUUUCAGAGCCAAAGAUGAUGAUGAUGACGAUGAUGAUGAUGAUGCAGAAAUGUAGAGGCCAUACAAAAUCAUGUCUUUGAGUAUUUAGUACCAUUAACAAUUUGACAACUUAGCACAUUACAAGAUUUAUAUAAAAUAUAUCUCCAAGAGAAUGUCUUAAUCAAACUUCAGAACUGACCCAUCUAAGUCAAUAGUGCAAAGCACCCAAUACCUUUGGAGGAUGUACUCAUGGGAACUAAAACUCAAACCGUCUUUGAGGUUGCAAAGCUGCUGUACUGUGCCAAUGUCCUUUCUUUUUUUUUUUUCCCCCCCUUGGAGACAGAGUUUCUCUCUUGUCACCCAGGCUGGAGUGCAAUGGCGCAGUCUCGGCUCACUGCAACCUCCACCUCCUGGGUUCAAGUGAUUCUCCUGCCUCAGCCUCCUGAGUAGCUGGGAUUACAGGCGUGUGCCACCACGCCCAGCUAGUUUUUGUAUUAUUAGUAGACACGGGGGUUUCUCCAUGUUGGCCAGGCUGGUCUCAAACUCCUGACCUCUUGAUCCGCCCGCCUAAGCCUCCCAAAGUGCUGGGAUUACAGGCGUGAGCCACCGCGCCCGGCCAGUGUCCUUUCUUAUACACGUACAUACAUGACGAUGGCUUGAAUCAGCUGCAGGGCAGUGGGCUUAAUGAGAGGGAUCUUUGUAAAGACAGCUCUUCACUUCAGCUCAAUGGCUUUGGUCAUAGGCAAGUUUGUUUUCCAUUAUCAUAAUUUGAUCAUUCUUGUGAUGAAUUCAAUGCUAGUUCUUAAAGAACUCUUUUAUUUCUGUAUGCGGAAAAAAUGUUUACCUCGGAAAUUUUGCAAAAUACAUGUAAGAAAGAAAUAAAAUAUAUUUUGAAAAUAUUUUGAAA
rnacentral:sRNA from 1 species